CAGAGCAAUCUGUGUGACUGCGUACCUUUUGUAUAAUGGGUCAGCGACUUAUAUUCUGUAGCAAGGUUAACCGAAUAGGGGAGCCGAAGGGAAACCGAGUCUUAACCGGGCGUUAAGUUGCAGGGUAUAGACCCGAAACCCGGUGAUCUAGCCAUGGGCAGGUUGAAGGUUGGGUAACACUAACUGGAGGACCGAACCGACUAAUGUUGAAAAAUUAGCGGAUGACUUGUGGCUGGGGGUGAAAGGCCAAUCAAACCGGGAGAUAGCUGGUUCUCCCCGAAAGCUAUUUAGGUAGCGCCUCGUGAAUUCAUCUCCGGGGGUAGAGCACUGUUUCGGCAAGGGGGUCAUCCCGACUUACCAACCCGAUGCAAACUGCGAAUACCGGAGAAUGUUAUCACGGGAGACACACGGCGGGUGCUAACGUCCGUCGUGAAGAGGGAAACAACCCAGACCGCCAGCUAAGGUCCCAAAGUCAUGGUUAAGUGGGAAACGAUGUGGGAAGGCCCAGACAGCCAGGAUGUUGGCUUAGAAGCAGCCAUCAUUUAAAGAAAGCGUAAUAGCUCACUGGUCGAGUCGGCCUGCGCGGAAGAUGUAACGGGGCUAAACCAUGCACCGAAGCUGCGGCAGCGACACUGUGUGUUGUUGGGUAGGGGAGCGU
rnacentral:rRNA from 1 species